rnacentral:misc_RNA from 1 species
UACGUAGGUGGCAAGCGUUGUCCUGAUUUAUUGGGUUUAAAGGGUGCGUAGGCGGUUUUAUAAGUCAGUGGUGAAAUACAACAGCUUAACUGUUGAGGUGCCAUUGAUACUGUAAGACUUGAGUACAGACGAGGUAGGCGGAAUUGACGGUGUAGCGGUGAAAUGCUUAGAUAUCGUCAAGAACACCGAUAGCGAAGGCAGCUUACUAGACUGUAACUGACGCUGAGGCACGAAAGUGUGGGGAUCAAACAGG